UACGGGGGGAGCAAGCGUUGUUCGGAUUUACUGGGCGUAAAGGGCGCGUAGGCGGCCACCGCAAGUCGACUGUGAAAUCUUUGGGCUUAACCCAGAACGGUCAGCCGAUACUGCGGGGCUAGAGUGCAGAAGGGGCAACUGGAAUUCUCGGUGUAGCGGUGAAAUGCGUAGAUAUCGAGAGGAACACCUGCGGCGAAGGCGGGUUGCUGGGCUGACACUGACGCUGAGGCGCGAAAGCUAGGGGAGCGAACGGG
rnacentral:rRNA from 1 species